GUUUUUGGUCCCAAGGCUCGC
rnacentral:snRNA from 1 species